GGGAGGAAGAAUGAAAAGGAUGAAGAAUCACAAAAGUCUUCAGAUAUGCCUGGGAGAAAGUAUCUAGAGUAAGUUAGCCUCUGGCUAUGCCUUCCAGGACCUGUCAUGAUCCGGUUAAUUGGAGCAAGGAGACCCACCCUAAAGGAAGGGGCCACCAUUCUAAGAUCACCCAGGGCUGGAUCUUAGACAACGUAAAAAGAAGAGAGCUGUGGAUACAAUGUGGCCAUCUGCUUCAAACCUGCUACAUUGACUUUCCCCGAAAGGCAUAGCUUGUUGGAACCGAAGCAAUCGUCAAGAGCUGAAGGAGACAGUAGCCGGGAACCAUGGCUCUCUGGGGCACAGAGAGCAGCUUUGGAGACCAGGGAAACAUUGUCGAGCACUCCAGACCCAUCCAAAAAUGGUGAACUGGUCUGACCGGCCUCAGCCUCAGGAUGCUGGGAGUGCUUGUCAGCCUGACAGUGUUCUGGGCGAGGGGAGUUUGCAAUGCAUGCCAGCAGCCAGAAGCAGCUGGGCACCCUUGGCAAAUGGGCGAUGCCAGGGGUCCACUGUGGCUCCAGGGUGCCCACAUCUCCCAUCAUGUAUUCUAGGCAGCCUCCAUCUUCAGACCUACCCACUUUGGUAAAGCAAAAGACAGCUGCAUGAGAGGAAGGGCCCUCUGAUGGUGGAAGCAAGUCCCCUGGGACUUUAUCACCCAGGCAGGGAAGGAAGAGAGGAGAUACUGGCCCUUUGGUCCAUAGCUCUUGGCAUCUAACAGAAUGGAAAAUGUAAUAGUUCUAGUUGCAGGCAUCUCGUUUUCUUGUUUUGCUUGUUUUUAAUCUUUCAAAUCAAUAAAGUGAAUAGAAUAGGGGAGAAGUUUUGUUCUGUUUUAAAAGUUGUUGUAAUCCCAACACUCAGGAGGCUGAGGCUAAGUCGGGUGUGCUGGCUCAAGCCUUUAGUUCCAGUCCUUGGAAGGUAGAACUCUCAGG